UACAGAGGGUGCGAGCGUUAAUCGGAAUUACUGGGCGUAAAGCGCGCGUAGGCGGCUUUGCAAGUCGGGUGUGAAAUCCCCAGGCUUAACCUGGGAACUGCAUUCGAGACUGCAUUGCUAGAGUAUGGGAGAGGGAAGUGGAAUUCCCAGUGUAGCGGUGAAAUGCGUAGAGAUGUGGAGGAACACCAGUGGCGAAGGCGACUCUUUGGUCUGUAACUGACGCUGAGGCGCGAAUGCGUGGGGAGCAAACAGG
rnacentral:rRNA from 1 species